CCUACGGGUGGCAGCAGUGGGGAAUAUUGGACAAUGGGGGGAACCCUGAUCCAGCCAUGCCGCGUGUGUGAAGAAGGCCCUCGGGUUGUAAAGCACUUUCAGUGAGGAAGAACGCCUGGUGGUUAAUACCCAUCAGGAAAGACAUCACUCACAGAAGAAGCACCGGCUAACUCCGUGCCAGCAGCCGCGGUAAUACGGAGGGUGCGAGCGUUAAUCGGAAUUACUGGGCGUAAAGCGCGCGUAGGUGGCUUGAUAAGCCGGUUGUGAAAGCCCCGGGCUCAACCUGGGAACGGCAUCCGGAACUGUCAAGCUAGAGUGCAGGAGAGGAAGGUAGAAUUCCCGGUGUAGCGGUGAAAUGCGUAGAGAUCGGGAGGAAUACCAGUGGCGAAGGCGGCCUUCUGGACUGACACUGGCACUGAGGUGCGAAAGCGUGGGUAGCAAACAGGAUUAGAUACCCGUGUAGUC
rnacentral:rRNA from 1 species